CCUACGGGUGGCAGCAGUGGGGAAUAUUGCACAAUGGGCGCAAGCCUGAUGCAGCCAUGCCGCGUGUGUGAAGAAGGCCUUCGGGUUGUAAAGCACUUUCAGCGGGGAGGAAGGCGGUGAGGUUAAUAACCUCAUCGAUUGACGUUACCCGCAGAAGAAGCACCGGCUAACUCCGUGCCAGCAGCCGCGGUAAUACGGAGGGUGCAAGCGUUAAUCGGAAUUACUGGGCGUAAAGCGCACGCAGGCGGUCUGUCGAGUCGGAUGUGAAAUCCCCGGGCUCAACCUGGGAACUGCAUUCGAAACUGGCAGGCUAGAGUCUUGUAGAGGGGGGUAGAAUUCCAGGUGUAGCGGUGAAAUGCGUAGAGAUCUGGAGGAGUACCGGUGGCGAAGGCGGCCCCCUGGACAAAGACUGACGCUCAGGUGCGAAAGCGUGGGGAGCAAACAGGAUUAGAUACCCUAGUAGUC
rnacentral:rRNA from 1 species